ACACACCCGGAGAAGGAGUGGCGGGGGUGAGAACAGGGCCUGGGACAAUCUGCACAGCUAUCUCAGAAGAAGAGAAAAAGAGCUCUGACUUUUCAGGAGAGAGGCCAUGCCGGAGGGCACCCCUGCCGACCUGGGCACACUUUGGGGGUCAGACUUGAUCCUCCACAAUGAUGUCUGCCCGUGCCCUUGCUUGCCGCAGCCCACGCCCCCCCAGGCUCUGCUCCACCCUGAUGCCCAAAGCUCUUCCUAGGAGACACGAGGUAGAAGAAAUGAAUGCAUCUCCAGCAAGAAAGAGGGCUGUUAGAAGGAGAGGGGGGCCUCCUGGUGAUGAGAGGAGGUAGGAAAUGAGUUCU